rnacentral:rRNA from 1 species
CCACUAUAAAGGGGUGAUCUGCGCACGGCUCAUUAUAUCAGGGGUAAUUGGUUCGAUACUGUUCACUACUUGGCGUCUCGCACGUCAUCUGGAUAACCGCGGUAACCCCGUGGCUAAUACAUACGUUACGGACCUUAACCGGUCUGUCGUUUGCUGGAGAAGAUCUGCCCUCCGCUUAGCGGGCAACCGUUAGGCGGGGAUCGGUGAAUCACGGCAACUUGACCUAUCGCAGACGGCCUCCGUGCCGGGCGAUUUAUCGAUCCAACCCUUGUCCUAUCA